UGAAUACGAGACGCUAAGGCGUCGAAGUAGUGUAUGUCAUACUUCCAAGAAAAGCUUGCACUGUCAUAGAUAAAAAACGCCUGUACCAUAACCGACACAGGUGGGUAGGUAGAGUAUACUAAGGGGCGCGAGAUAACUCUCUCUAAGGAACUCGGCAAAAUAACUCCGUAACUUCGGGAGAAGGAGUGCCUUAUUCGUAAGGUUGCAAUAACAAGAUCCAAGCAACUGUUUAUCAAAAACACAGGUCUCCGCUAAGUCGUAAGACGAUGUAUGGGGGCUGACGCCUGCCCAGUGCCAGAAGGUUAAAGAAGUUGGUUAGCAAUUGCGAAGCUGAUAACUGAAGCCCUGGUGAACGGCGGCCGUAACGAUAACGGUCCUAAGGUAGCGAAAUUCCUUGUCGGGUAAGUUCCGACCCGCACGAAAGGCGUAAUGAUUUGGAUACUGUCUCGGAGAGGGGCUCGGUGAAAUAGACUUGUCUGUGAAGAUGCGGACUACCUGCACCAGGACAGAAAGACCCUAUGAAGCUUUACUGUAACUUGAAAUUGAAAUUGGACUUUAUUCGCGCAGUAUAGGUGGGAGGCGUUGAUUAUAAUCUUGUGGGAUUAUUGGAGCCAUCAGUGAGAUACCACUCUUGUAAUGUUAGAUUUCUAACUUUGAAUCAUUAUCUGUCAAAGAACAGUUUCAGGCGGGCAGUUUGACUGGGGCGGUCGCCUCCUAAACGGUAACGGAGGCGUACAAAGGUUUCCUCUGAACGGUUAGAAAUCGUAUCUAGAGUGUAAAGGCAUAAGGAAGCUUGACUGUGAGACCUACAAGUCGAGCAGGGACGAAAGUCGGUCUUAGUGAUCUGACGGUACUGAGUGGAAAGGCCGUCACUCAACGGAUAAAAGUUACUCUAGGAUAACAGGCUGAUCUCCCCCAAGAGUUCACAUCGACGGGGAGGUUUGGCACCUUGAUGUCGGCUCAUCGCAUCCUGGGGCGGUAGUACGUCCCAAGGGUUGGGCUGUUCGCCCAUGAAAGCGGUACGCGAGCUGGGUUCAGAACGUCGUGAGACAGUUCGGUCCAUAUCCGGUGUAGGCGUUAGAAUAUUGAGAGGAGCCUUCUUUAGUACGAGAGGACCGAGAAGGACAUACCUCUGGUGUACCAGUUAUCGUGCCAACGGUAAACGCUGGGUAGCUAUGUAUGGAGUGGAUAACCGCUGAAAGCAUCUAAGUGGGAAGCCCACCUCAAGAUAAG
rnacentral:rRNA from 1 species